rnacentral:tRNA from 1 species
CAGGGAGACAAAAACUGAUCGUGAUGUCUGAGAUUUUUUUACUUAGACCAUGAUCCUGUCACCUUAGGUCGAUCGGUACCUCAGAUUCAUAUCAAAAUUUGAAUUUCAGUUCCUAAACUUUGUCUAGGUCACACCCAGCAAGGGUUCUCCUGGGCCAUUAGCUCAGGUGGUUAGAGCGCACCCCUGAUAAGGGUGAGGUCCCUGGUUCAAGUCCAGGAUGGCCCAUUCGGUGUUGGGGGUAUAGCUCAGUUGGUAGAGCGCCUGCUUUGCAAGCAGGAUGUCAGCGGUUCGAGUCCGCUAACCUCCACUGACGAAUCUUCUGACAACGAGCCAAUGGUGAGAAUCGUUGUGUGAUGUGAUUUAGAAUUUAAGUUUGCUGGCAGACCCUAGCUUCUUAUCAUUCCAGGACUCAAUCAAUUGAGAUGAGGUUGAUAGGACGCUGGGCUCACUGUAAUUCGCAAGAAUUGCAGAGAUGUUCAGCAGAACCUUGACAACUGCAUAGGUAAGUCUGGAAAGAAUAAAGCAUCUCAUGGAUGCAUGAUUCUUGGGAAUCAGCUGAUGCAAUCUGCGCGAGCAGAGAGCUGAGGUUGAUCAACGAGAAUGAUGUUUGAUUCUUGAGUCAAGAGCCGAGACUCUAUAGCGUUCUUUCGAUGUCAUCGAGGCAUCGAGAGUUUGAUUGGUGAUUCAAACCAUUUUCAAUGACAAACAAUUCAGUUUAACUGGAGAAGUUUGAGACUGAAGCCAGGUGAAUUGCUAAGAAUACGUAUUCAACUACGUGAAGCGUUAUAGAGAUUAAUU